AAAGGUGAAAUUAGGUUAUUUUUUUAAAGGUAAUAAUUAGAGCUGAAGCAAUAAAAAAUUGGAUUUAAACUAGGAUUAGAUACCCUACUAUACCAAAAAGUAAUUUUUUAGACCUAAGUAUUUAAAGUUAUGUACUUGAAAUUUGAAUAAUUUGGCGGUGAUUUAGUCUUGUCAGAGGAACCUGUUUUUAAAUCGAUACACCACGAAAAAUCUUACUUAAGUAUGUAUACCAUCAUUAUUAGGUAAUUUUUAUAGAAUAAAUUACUAAAAAUAAUUAUUAAUAGUGUUAAAUAUAUUAGAUCAAGGUGCAGCUAAUGCUUAAGUUAAAAUGGGUUACAAUAAAAAUUUAUUUAAUACGGAAUAUUAAUUAGAAGGAGGAUUUGAUUGUAAUUAAAUUUAAUAUGUUUAGUUAGAUAUAAGCUCUAAAUCAUGUACAUAUCGCCCGUCGCUUUC
rnacentral:rRNA from 1 species